UUUGACGCUCAGAUUAUUAAUCUUAUAGAAAAUAUGUCAUCAUCAGAUAUCUAAUCAACUCCUACAAAUUUAGUAUAAACUUAUUUUGACAUUUGAGAUCAAAUCAAUACAGUUUACAUGAUUGUUACUGAAAAUUUAUGGUUCUUUACCUAAAUCUUAUCCAUGCAAUAAACAAUUGUACAUCAAUAUGAUAAUGUGAAUUGGUUCUCUCUGUCAACUCUGCAAGAAAAUGUAACAAAGGACAAACGUAAUAAAGACAACUUUGUCUUUACUACUCCAUGGUACGUGUAGAAACAGAUACGAAUUUAAUUCAAUUGUUUGUUGAUGAAUGUGUCAAGAAAUUUAUGCUUUUUGUAGUGUCCUUGAAGUUGAAAGGCACAUGCAGAAACAUAGUAUUACAAGACUUUAUGCUUUCUGUUCUUUUGGAUUAUGCCUUGUGAAUUGAACCCUAACAUGUAUAUCUACUUUUUUUUUUUUUUAAACUUUAUAUUAAUGAAGUUUUCAAAAACAGUAUUCGAGGAUUUGACUAUUCAAGACUUUGCUGGUCUUCGAGGAUUUGACUAUUCAAUACUUGCUGCAAAUCAGGUAUGUGUAUUUCGAGAGAUUAUAUAAAAAUCAUGCAUAUACUUCUCACAUAUUCUAACAAAAAGUAAACAAUCUUCACUACACAAGUUGUAAACCAUAUGCUCUUUGAAGAAGCAUCCCAUCACAUGAUCAUUAGUACUGUUGCUAAAUCCUAAAAGGGUAACAUCAAAGAAGAUAUAUGUUGUCAAAUGAUUUGUUUAUUGAAGUAUAUCAUUUACAUGAGUUGAUGCAAAGUGAAAAGAAGAUUAUUAUAUAACUACAACCAUGAAGAAAUCCUUAGACAAAAUGUAUAGAAAGAUACACAAGUUAAAGAAUAAACUAAACUAGUUUACUAAGCUAUAUUGUAGAUAAAACGUAUAACCGAAUGACAGCAAAACAAACAGAAUUUGCACCGCUCCAUAUCAGAGUUGCUUGUAGUGAGCAUCUUAAACCGCACCAAAAAGUCGACGGGCUUGCAAGGUCAAGAAAACUCGAACAACCUUUAUGAAGUUAGAAACCAGAAAAAGAAAACGUAAGAAGAAUAAGCUCAGGAGGGGUAGCACCAGGAUUGUUAUCAAAAUGUGGUUUUUUGUUGAUUGGCCAUGAGUAAGAGAAAUAAGGUUGGAUGAUUAGCCAUGGCUAGGACCCAAAGAGUGUAUGGGUUUGAGGAAAGGGUUUUUAGGGUUGAAUCCAUGUAGUGUGUGUGAAUGGAAGAUGAGUGUAAGGAGUUUAUAUAUAGGUGGGGUGGGUGGUUAAAAGGGGUUGGGUAUAAUUGGGUGUAUGGUAAUAAAAGAGGUUAUUGAUGUGUCAUUUUCUACAUAUAAAGACAAGGGACAGGAAGC
rnacentral:lncRNA from 1 species